GUGUAUACAGAGUAAAAUGGAAAGGGCUUCCUCGCCUUUUUCUCUCCUUCUCCCUCUCAAAUAGCUGACCCCAAGGAUCAUAUUUAUAGACUGAUGACCGCAGGUACACUUGCGACAACUGUGGUUGUACCUGCGGCUGGUCGUGGUGCAUCCGAGCCUCGCAGGUCCCGUCAUCUCGAAGUAUGUGCACUCGUGCACUGUAAUGUCCGCUUGUACUUGCAG
rnacentral:lncRNA from 1 species